GGAGGUCACACCUGUUCCCAUGCCGAACACAGAAGUUAAGCUCCUUAGCGUCGAUGGUAGUCGAACUUACGUUCCGC
rnacentral:tRNA from 1 species